GACACGCUGGCGGCGUGCUUAACACAUGCAAGUUGGACGGUACGACAUGGAAGCUUGCUGAAGUGUCGUACAGUAGCGAACGGGUGAGUAAUGCAUGAGAAUCUGCCCUUUGGAGGGGGACAACAGCUGGAAACGGCUGCUAAUACCCCGUAAGCCGGGAGGUGAAAGGUACGCGAGUACUGCCGGGGGAUGAGCUCAUGUCCUAUCAGCUGGUUGGUGGGGUAACGGCCCACCAAGGCGACGACGGGUAGCCGGCCUGAGAGGGUGACCGGCCACACUGGAACUGAGACACGGUCCAGACUCCUACGGGAGGCAGCAGUGGGGAAUUUGGGCAAUGGGGGAGACCCUGACCCAGCGACGCCACGUGAGGGAAGACGGCCUUCGGGUUGUAAACCUCUUUUGUACGGGAAGAUAAUGACGGUACUGUACGAAUAAGUCCCGGCUAACUACGUG
rnacentral:rRNA from 1 species